rnacentral:rRNA from 1 species
AUAACGGUCCUAAGGUAGCGAAAUUCCUUGUCGGGUAAGUUCCGACCUGCACGAAUGGCGUAACGAUGGCCACACUGUCUCCACCCGAGACUCAGCGAAAUUGAAUUUGCUGUGAAGAUGCAGUAUACCCGCCGCAAGACGGAAAGACCCCGUGCACCUUUACUAUAGCUUCACACUGGACUUUGAAUAUGUUUGUGUAGGAUAGGUGGGAGGCUUUGAAGCGGUCACGCCAGUGAUCGUGGAGCCACCUUUGAAAUACCACCCUGAUAUGUUUGAGGUUCUAACCUAGGCCCGUUAUCCGGGUUGGGGACAGUGUGUGGUGGGUAGUUUGACUGGGGCGGUCUCCUCCCAAAGAGUAACGGAGGAGCGCAAUGGUACCCUCAGCGCGGUCGGAAAUCGCGCAACGAGUGCAAAGGCAUAAGGGUGCCUAACUGCGAGACAGACACGUCGAGCAGGUGCGAAAGCAGGUCUUAGUGAUCCGGUGGUUCUGUAUGGAAGGGCCAUCGCUCAGCGGAUAAAAGGUACGCCGGGGAUAACAGGCUGAUACCCCCCAAGAGUUCACAUCGACGGGGGUGUUUGGCACCUCGAUGUCGGCUCAUCUCAUCCUGGGGCUGUAGCCGGUCCCAAGGGUAUGGCUGUUCGCCAUUUAAAGAGGUACGCGAGCUGGGUUUAGAACGUCGUGAGACAGUUUGGUCCCUAUCUGCGGUGGGCGUUGGAGAUUUGAGGGAAGCUGCUCCUAGUACGAGAGGACCGGAGUGGACGUACCCCUGGUGUUCCGGUUGUCACGCCAGUGGCAUUGCCGGGUAGCUAUGUACGGACGGGAUAACCGCUGAAAGCAUCUAAGCGGGAAGCCCCUCCCAAGAUGAGAUCUCCCUGGAGUUUUAAACUCCCUUAAGGGUCGUUGUAGACCACAACGUUGAUAGGCUGGGUGUGGAAGUGCAGUAAUGUAUGAAGCUAACCAGUACUAAUUGCCCGUGAGGCUUGACCAUAUAACACCCAAGCAGUU